AUACGGAGGGUGCAAGCGUUAUCCGGAAUCAUUGGGUUUAAAGGGUCCGUAGGCGGGCAAUUAAGUCAGAGGUGAAAUCCCACAGCUCAACUGUGGAACUGCCUUUGAUACUGGUUGUCUUGAGUUACAGUGAAGUAGAUAGAAUGUGUAGUGUAGCGGUGAAAUGCUUAGAUAUUACACGGAAUACCGAUUGCGAAGGCAGUCUACUAACUGUAUACUGACGCUAAUGGACGAAAGCGUGGGGAGCGAACAGGAUUAGAAACCCUAGUAGUCC
rnacentral:rRNA from 1 species